rnacentral:rRNA from 1 species
GACGAACGCUGGCGGCGUGCUUAACACAUGCAAGUCGAACGGAAAGGCCCUGCUUUUGUGGGGUGCUCGAGUGGCGAACGGGUGAGUAACACGUGAGUAACCUGCCCUUGACUUUGGGAUAACUUCAGGAAACUGGGGCUCAUACCGGAUAGGAGCUCCUGCUGCAUGGUGUGGGUUGGAAAGUUUCGGCGGUUGGGGAUGGACUCGCGGCUUAUCAGCUUGUUGGUGGGGUAGUGGCUUACCAAGGGUUAGACGGGUAGCCGGCCUGAGAGGGUGACCGGGGACAUGAGGACUGAGAUAGGGCGCAGACUGCUACGGGAGGCAGCAGGGGGGAAUAUUGCGCAAUGGGCGGAAGCCUGAUGCAGCAGCGCCGCGUGCGGGAUGACGGCCUUCGGGUUGUAAACCGCUUUCGACUGUGACGAGGCGUGAGUGACGGUAAUGGGUAAAGAAGCACCGGCUAACUACGUG